rnacentral:rRNA from 1 species
GACGAACGCUGGCGGCGUGCUUAACACAUGCAAGUCGAACGGAAAGGCCCUGCUUUUGUGGGGUGCUCGAGUGGCGAACGGGUGAGUAACACGUGAGUAACCUGCCCUUGACUUUGGGAUAACUUCAGGAAACUGGGGCUAAUACCGGAUAGGAGCUCCUGCUGCACGGUGGGGGUUGGAAAGUUUCGGCGGUUGGGGAUGGACUCGCGGCUUAUCAGCUUGUUGGUGGAGUAGUGGCUUACCAAGGCUUUGACGGGUAGCCGGCCUGAGAGGGUGACCGGCCACAUUGGGACUGAGAUACGGCCCAGACUCCUACGGGAGGCAGCAGUGGGGAAUAUUGCACAAUGGGCGGAAGCCUGAUGCAGCAACGCCGCGUGCGGGAUGACGGCCUUCGGGUUGUAAACCGCUUUCGCCUGUGACGAAGCGUGAGUGACGGUAAUGGGUAAAGAAGCACCGGCUAACUACGUG